AAUUCUCAACUAUACAAGUUUUUCAAACAUGUAUAGCUUGGAUCUUGGGAUUUGCGGGCUUUCAUAAGUCGGCUAUCCUUAAAUGCAUUAGCAGAGCUUUUGCCGCUAACCUUUGGUGUGAUAAUUAUCUACGCCAUCGAGUUACGACAUAUUGAGGCUUAGCUUCUAAUCGUCCUUACGGACAAUACUUGACA
rnacentral:misc_RNA from 1 species